ensembl:rRNA 5S_rRNA 5S ribosomal RNA
GUUGGCAGCCAUAUCACCCUGUAGCCCAAGACUGGUUGCCCACUGAAGCCAAGCAGGGUUGAGCCUGGUCAGUACCUGGAUGGGAGACCUCCUGGGAAAACUAGGUUGCUGCUGGAA